UUUAUUGGCUCCCAUGUGCAUUCACUAAUACCAUAUCUGCACCAAUGGACAAGAUAUUCUAAUUUAUUUCGACGCCGCCUUGAAUCUAAGACUUCUUCUACUUCAAACUCUUCAUUAUUGUCCACUUCUAUAGGAAGAGGUGGAGCUUGUCGUCUUCUUGGUAUGUUCACUGUCUUGUAUGGUUCAAAAAGAGACACGUGGAAUACUGGAUGGAUUUUCAUUGACUCCAGU
rnacentral:lncRNA from 1 species